rnacentral:rRNA from 1 species
AAGUCGUAACAAGGUUUCCGUAGGUGAACCUGCGGAAGGAUCAUUAUCGAAUAAACUUGAACAGGCUGUUGCUGGUCCCAGGACAAUGUGCACGCUUGUCAUCUUUAUCAUUUCUCCCAACUGUGCACAUAUUGUAGACCCUGGAUUUUGUUCCGAGUGGGGACUGCUGUGCUUCAAAAGAAGUCGGCUUUCCCCUUGAAGGUCUAUGUUUGUUUUUCACAACCUCUCGAAUGUGUUUAGAAUGUUGAAAUAAAGAAAAGUUAAUAAAAUACAACUUUCAGCAACGGAUCUCUUGGCUCUCGCAUCGAUGAAGAACGCAGCGAAAUGCGAUAAGUAAUGUGAAUUGCAGAAUUCAGUGAAUCAUCGAAUCUUUGAACGCAUCUUGCGCUCCUUGGUAUUCCGAGGAGCAUGCCUGUUUGAGUGUCAUUUAAACUCUCAAACCACAUCAUUCGUUUGACGUGGCUUUGGACGUGGGGGUUGCCGGCUUUCUUCUCAGAGAGGCCUGNUCNUCUGAAAUGCAUUAGUGGUAUCUGAAGUGGAAAACCGCUAGGUGUGAUAAUACUGUCUAUGCCUUUGGUUUAUGCCGCAUGUGCUGCUUCCAACCGCACAUUUUCUGUGCUUUUGACAAACUUGACCUCAAAUCAGGUAGGACUACCCGCUGAACUUAAGCAUAUCAAUAAGCGGAGGAAANGAAACUAACAAGGAUUCCCCUAGUANCUGCGAGUGAAGCGGGAAGAGCUCAAAUUUGAAAUCUGGCGGUCGUUGGCCGUCCGAGUUGUAAUCUAGAGAAGUGCUACCUGUGCUGGACCGUGUACAAGUCUCCUGGAAUGGAGCAUCGCAGAGGGUGAGAAUCCCGUCUUUGACACGGACUGCCUGUACGUCAUGGUGCGCUCUCGAAGAGUCGAGUUGUUUGGGAAUGCAGCUCAAAAUGGGUGGUAAAUGCCAUCUAAAGCUAAAUAUUGGCGAGAGACCGAUAGCGAACAAGUACCGUGAGGGAAAGAUGAAAAGAACUUUGGAAAGAGAGUUAAACAGUACGUGAAAUUGCUGAAAGGGAAACGCUUGAAGUCAGUCGCGUCGGCCAGAAAUCAGCCUUUGCUUUUGCUUGGUGUACUUUCUUGGUUGAUGGGUCAGCAUCAAUUUCGACCGUCGGAUAAAGUCGUCGGGAAUGUGGCAUCUUCGGAUGUGUUAUAGCCCGGCGUCGCAUACGGUGGUUGGGAUUGAGGAACUCAGCACGCCGAAAGGCCGGGUCUCUCGAGACCACGUCCGUGCUUAGGAUGCUGGCAUAAUGGCUUUAAUCGACCCGUCUUGAAACACGGACC